rnacentral:rRNA from 1 species
CCUACGGGUGGCUGCAGUGGGGAAUAUUGCACGAUGGGCGCAAGCCUGAUGCAGCCAUGCCGCGUGUGUGAAGAAGGCCUUCGGGUUGUAAAGCACUUUCAGCGGGGAGGAAGGCGGUGGGGUUAAUAACCUCAUCGAUUGACGUUACCCGCAGAAGAAGCACCGGCUAACUCCGUGCCAGCAGCCGCGGUAAUACGGAGGGUGCAAGCGUUAAUCGGAAUUACUGGGCGUAAAGCGCACGCAGGCGGUCUGUCAAGUCGGAUGUGAAAUCCCCGGGCUCAACCUGGGAACUGCAUUCGAAACUGGCAGGGUAGAGUCUUGUAGAGGGGGGUAGAAUUCCAGGUGUAGCGGUGAAAUGCGUAGAGAUCUGGAGGAAUACCGGUGGCGAAGGCGGCCCCCUGGACAAAGACUGACGCUCAGGUGCGAAAGCGUGGGGAGCAAACAGGAUUAGAUACCCGGGUAGGC